AGAAAACUCCUUCACAGACCAAUCUGUUCCCUUUUUCCAAUGCCUCAAAUGGACCUGCAAGAGUCUACAGGAGGUUACAUUAUGGGGCAAUUGAUUCAGUUCAAAUGGGAAAAGACAACUGAAAUCGCUGGAGUCACUGAGACCCAACCUGAUUGUGUACACAAUCUGAUGGAUCUACAAUACAUGAUGUUAUUUCCUGCUUUAUUUUACAUCCGAUCCGAUGUCGUUUGACCAUUCUCGCCUCGCUCUUGUAAAGUAAUGACAAAGUUUCACCAUAUUUAUCAGACUUCACAAAUCACUGAAUGGGAACAGAUAAUAACAGUGAAAUCAAAGAUACAAGAAGGCUACCCAAAAGUAACCUCUCGGGGAAAUUUAAAUCAGUGACUUUACCAGCAACCUCCACAUUUGGGAAGUGAAAGAAAACUGGUUUUAUGGAGUGGAAUCCAUACCAUGCAGUAAGAGGCGCAAUGUGUCUGCACCGACCUUCCAAAGAGCAUUCCAGCUUAUCCCCAUAUCCCUGCAUUUUCCGGGGCGAAUCCAGUGAACCUGCACACACCUUUGGGCUGUGGGAGGAAACUGGUGCCUCUGGUGGAAAUACCCGCAGACGUGAAGAAGAUGCAGACUGCACACAGACAGUCACCUGAGGCUGGGUUUAAACCUGAGUCCCUGGUGCUAUGAGGUAACAGUGCAAACUGUUGAGUCACUGCUGCCCUUCAAAUAUUUGGACUUUAAAACAUUUUGCUGUGAUUUUUUUAAUGUCAAUUUCUCAUCCGAGCGGAAAGUAGGAGGACAAAUGUACUGCAGGUACCAGGGAACUCUGUUUAAGUGGGUCGGAUCUGUUGUGUCCAUUUGAACAGAGGGUGCAAUGAAUUAAUGCCUCAGCGGUGACAGCAGCAGUUAAAAGAAAAGAGUUGGGCAGGGUACAGUAGCAUAGCCCACUGACUGUUCCCAUUUUAGGCAAGUUCACAAAUGCUGUGCAGAAGGACUUGGGUGUCCUGCAUGAAUCACAAAAAGUUGGUUUGCAGGUGCAACAGGUAAUUAGUAAGACAAAUGGAAUAUUGCCUUCCAUUCAUAGAGGGAUGGUGCUUAAAAAUAGUGAGGUUAUGCUGCAGCUGUACAGGGUGCUGGUGUGGCCACCUGUAGAGUACUACUUGCAGUUUUGGUCUCCUUACUUAAGAAAAGAUGUACUCUCAUUGGAACGAGUGCAGAGGAGACGCCUGAAUUCAGAGGGUUGGCUUAUGAUGAGAGAUUGCGUCGACUGGGACUAUACUCAUUGGAAUUUAGAAGAAUGAGCGGAAUUAUACAGAAAGAUAUAAAAUUAUGAAGGGAGGAGAUAAGCUAGAAACAGGCUGUUUCCACUGGUGGGUGGAACUAGAACUGGGGGAAUAGCAUCAAAAUAAAAGAAGAGAUUUAGGACUGAGUUGAGGAGGAACUUCUUUACCCAAAGCAUUGUAAAUCUGUGGAAUUUCCACCCAGUGAAGCAGUUAAGUUUACCUCACAGCAAAGGUAAUUCCUUUCCUGUUCAAAGAUCUAAGGGUUACAGUGAGUCAGUGGGUAAAUGGAGCUGCGUCCACAGAAAAAUCAGUUGUGAUCUUGGCAGAGCAUGGUCAAUGAGCCAGAUGGCGUACUGCUGGUCCUGUUUCUUACAUUCUAAUCAACAGCAUUUGAUAGACUACUGAAUGGAUUCAGCAACCAUGGACACUGAUCUAAACUAUAAAUUAAUAAUCACUUGA